UGUGUGUGUGUGUGUGUGUGUGUGUGUGUGUAUAGACCCACAAAUAGAUACAAUAUUUUCUACAUAUAUACAUACACACAAACACACACACACACACACACAUA
rnacentral:miRNA from 1 species